rnacentral:lncRNA from 1 species
UUCCACGUCCGAUUGGGGUGAGUCCGCCAUGCCCGCUUCUUGAUUCUUCCCGAAUUUGCGCGAAUUGGGUUCUUGGAUGCAUCGGAAUUUGACCGCAAAGAUUGCAAAUCGUGUUAAUUUCAUUCUGUUGGGAGAAAUUCUUGGCUCAGAUUCGUAUUUGAUCUCCUGAUCGAUGGUUCUUUGCGACUCAGCUGCACGACGAGUUGCUGUUGCGGGAAAUCACGUACGUGUGGCCGAACGUCGAGGGGGCCCUCGUCAACCAUGACGUGUUCUGCUUCAUGGGGAGGUCCGUGUUCCGGCUGAGGCACGAGCUGGCCCGGCGGCGGCUGGUGGACGUCUCUCAGCUCGCCAUGUGCCUCCCCACACGUUAUGGCCGUUUUUUCCCACUCGUCGUCGACCUGCCCCGCAACCAGGAGGCCCUCAUCGUCGUCGUCGACGUCGCGGGGACGGCUGGUGAGAGGCCCUCAACUUCCUACUCUUUUCCUUUGGCAAGAAACUCAUACUUGCACUCGUCUGGAACUUUUCCGGAUAUUUGCAAUAGUCUGAAAAACAGUUUACUGAAACUGGUGUCGUCUGAAACUUUGGAUAAUCUGUUUCAGUUAGGACCUAUAUAUGACUUGGACAUAGUCUGAACUGCUGUAGUAGGGUUAUAGAAAUCAGUAAAAGUUGUUGAAUCGAAUCAGUAGGUGGGUCAACAGGGACGGCAUUAUGUCUGUUGGAUUUAUGGACCGAUGCUAGUGGAAAGCCCAAAUCAGUAUCAGUUCAGUCUGAACCCAAGUCAUUUUUCGUAAGUACUGAACCUGGAAACAGUUGGUUUUUGAUGCUACUGUGCUUUGAUUCAGAUGAUUUAGUUUUGCAAUUAGAUGCUACUGUGCUAGUGGAAGACUUUGGAACUUGAAAACCCAAAUCAGUUCAGUCUGCUAGUUUCAACUUCACAGAGAAGACAAUGAUGUCUACCCCCUCUGUCCCACAAUAUAAGAUCGUUUUUCAAGUUAACAUAGAUUGAAAAACGUUCUUAUAUUCUGGGACGGAGGGGGUAUUUCUUAGCCUAGCUAGUGUGAUUUGUAUCGUUUAACGUGUGGACAAAAUUCAGGUUGUAUGGCAGAGCACAUUACAUUGUGUUGAGAUUUUCUUAUUUGAACUUGUUGCAGUACCCGUGAGACAUGAUGCCUAACUGCUUAACUAUUUUUCUGCCAAUCCAGGCCACGCGGCACUGCGGUACGCGGAUGUCGAUGCAUGGUAGAGAGAGACCCGUAGAAGCCGCCUUCCUGUCCACCUCUUCAGAGUAUCGCCGCCUCAGUUCUAACUUGUAAGGCAUGGGUUCAGGAAAACCUAGCAGUUGUAGUGUUUGUGCUAGCUAAACUUGGUCGGUUCUGUUCCCCUGACAGAACAUGUUGGUGUUGGCAUUACGGUUCUCAAAUUCAGAAACUGUUUGAACAAUGAGGCUCUGUAAUGGUUGCUCCCUUGUUCGUUGACAGCACUGAAUACUGAUGUGGUGGUUCUUGCAGCGAGUUGGGCCACUUGAGUUUACAGUUUCAAUCGUACAACAGAAAAUAUAGUUGAUAUCCUGUUUGUUGGUUAUGUGCAACAAAAACAUUUGUUGAUAUAGUGUUUAUGUGUCUUUAAAUGUCCAUGUAAGUCAAUAAAUUGUCCACACAUUUCAAAAAAAAAUAUUAGUAUAUUAUUUUUUUGCGAGGUAAAUAUUCAUGUAAUUUUAAGAAUUGUUAGUUC